UACGUAGGGUGCGAGCGUUGUCCGGAAUUACUGGGCGUAAAGGGCUCGUAGGUGGCCAACUAAGUCAGACGUGAAAUCCCUCGGCUUAACCGGGGAACUGCGUCUGAUACUGGAUGGCUGGAGAUUGGGAGAGGGAUGCGGAAUUCCAGGUGUAGCGGUGAAAUGCGUAGAUAUCUGGAGGAACACCGGUGGCGAAGGCGGCGUUCUGGACUGCUACUGACACUGAGAGACGAAAGCCAGGGGAGCAAACGGG
rnacentral:rRNA from 1 species